rnacentral:rRNA from 1 species
CAAUAGCGUAUAUUAAAGUUGUUGCGGUUAAAAAGCUCGUAGUUGAAUUUCUGGUGGGCGCGCCGGUCUUCCAAGUGUUGUACUGGGCGCAGUCCGCCAUCCUUGUGGAGAGGGCUCGCAUUGAGUUGCGUGUCGGAUCUGCAUCAUUUACUGUGAAAAAAUUAGAGUGUUUAAAGCAGGCUGUCGCUUGAAUACAUUAGCAUGGAAUAAUAAGAUAGGACUUCGGUCUAUUUUGUUGGUUGCGAACCGAGGUAAUGAUUAAUAGGGAUAGUUGGGGGUAUUCAUAUUUAAUUGUCAGAGGUGAAAUUCUUGGAUUUAUGAAAGAUGAACAACUGCGAAAGCAUUUACCAAGGAUGUUUUCAUUAA